AUCUCUUGGUUCCGGCAUCGAUGAAGAACGCAGCGAAAUGCGAUAAGUAAUGUGAAUUGCAGAAUUCAGUGAAUCAUCGAAUCUUUGAACGCACAUUGCGCCCCCCGGCGUUCCGGGGGGCAUGCCUGUCCGAGCGUCGUC
rnacentral:rRNA from 2 species